rnacentral:ncRNA from 1 species
GGUCAAGCGAAUAAGCGCACACGGUGGAUGCCUUGGCGGUCAGAGGCGAUGAAGGACGUGGCAGCCUGCGAAAAGCUCCGGUGAGUCGGCAACAGACAUUGACCCGGAGAUGUCCGAAUGGGGAAACCCACCGCUUCGGCGGUAUCGUGCAGUGAAUACAUAGCUGUACGAAGCGAACCUGGUGAACUGAAAUAUCUAAGUAACCAGAGGAAAAGAAAUCAACCGAGAUUCCCCCAGUAGUGACGAGCGAACGGGGACCAGCCCUGAAGUCUGCAUGGUUCUAGCAAAACGGCCUGGAAAGGCCGGCCAUAGAAGGUGAUAGCCCUGUAUGUGAAAGGGCCACGCAGAUGAUGAUGAGUAAGGCGGGGCACGUGAAACCCUGUCUGAAUAUGGGGGGACCAUCCUCCAAGGCUAAAUACUCCUGACCGACCGAUAGUGAACCAGUACCGUGAGGGAAAGGCGAAAAGAACCCCGGAGAGGGGAGUGAAAUAGAACCUGAAACCGUGUGCGUACAAGCAGUGGGAGCCGACUUGUUCGGUGACUGCGUACCUUUUGUAUAAUGGGUCAGCGACUUACUGUAUGUGGCGAGCUUAACCGUAUAGGGGAGGCGAAGGGAAACCGAGUCUGAAUAGGGCGCAUAGUCGCAUGCAGUAGACCCGAAACCGGGUGAUCUAGCCAUGCCCAGGGUGAAGGUCGGGUAACACCGACUGGAGGCCCGAACCCACUCCUGUUGCAAAAGUAGGGGAUGAGGUGUGGCUAGGAGUGAAAAGCUAAUCGAACCCGGAGAUAGCUGGUUCUCCUCGAAAGCUAUUUAGGUAGCGCCUCGUGCGAAUCUUCUUGGGGGUAGAGCACUGUUAUGGCUAGGGGGUCAUUGUGACUUACCAAACCAUUGCAAACUCCGAAUACCAAGACAGACUACACGGGAGACACACGGCGGGUGCUAACGUCCGUCGUGAAAAGGGAAACAACCCAGACCUACAGCUAAGGUCCCCAAAUUACCGCUCAGUGGAAAACGAUGUGGGAAGGCACAGACAGCCAGGAGGUUGGCUUAGAAGCAGCCAUCCUUUAAAGAAAGCGUAAUAGCUCACUGGUCGAGUCGGCCUGCGCGGAAGAUUUAACGGGGCUAAGCGGUAUACCGAAGCUUAGGGUGCACACUUUGUGUGCGCGGUAGAGGAGCGUUCCGUAAGCCGUUGAAGGUGGAUUGAGAAGUCCGCUGGAGGUAUCGGAAGUGCGAAUGCUGACAUAAGUAACGAUAAUGCGGGUGAAAAGCCCGCACGCCGAAAGCCCAAGGUUUCCUUGCGCAACGUUAAUCGACGCAGGGUGAGUCGGCCCCUAAGGCGAGACCGAAAGGUGUAGUCGAUGGGAAGCUGGUUAAUAUUCCAGCACCUCGCGUGACUGCGAUGGGGGGACGGAGAAGGUUAGGUGUACCGGGCGUUGGUUGUCCCGGGGAAAGGCGGUAGGCAUUGGGGGUAGGCAAAUCCGCUCCCAUUUAUGCCGAGCACCGAGACGAGCCCUAUCGGGCGAAGUCACUGAUACCACGCUUCCAGGAAAAGCCUCUAAGCUUCAGGUCACGCAGACCGUACCGUAAACCGACACAGGUGGGCAGGAUGAGAAUUCUCAGGCGCUUGAGAGAACUUGGGUGAAGGAACUAGGCAACAUGGCACCGUAACUUCGGGAGAAGGUGCGCCUUCCAGGGUGGCAAUAUGCAUUGUCGAGCCCCGGAAGGCCGCAGAAACCAGGCCGCUGCGACUGUUUAUCAAAAACACAGCACUCUGCAAACACGAAAGUGGACGUAUAGGGUGUGACGCCUGCCCGGUGCCGGAAGGUUAAUUGAUGGGGUUAGCCGCAAGGCGAAGCUCUUGAUCGAAGCCCCGGUAAACGGCGGCCGUAACUAUAACGGUCCUAAGGUAGCGAAAUUCCUUGUCGGGUAAGUUCCGACCUGCACGAAUGGCGUAACGACAGCGGCGCUGUCUCCACCCAAGACUCAGUGAAAUUGAAAUCGCUGUGAAGAUGCAGCGUUCCCGCGGCAAGACGGAAAGACCCCGUGAACCUUUACUAUAGCUUUACAUUGAACGUUGAGUUCGUCUGUGUAGGAUAGGUGGGAGGCUAUGAAGUGUGGUCGCCAGAUCGCAUGGAGCCAUCCUUGAAAUACC